rnacentral:lncRNA from 1 species
AUUUAUUACUUAUAAUUAAUUAGCUAAUUAAUUAUUAAUAAUUUAAUAUGUUUAUCUAUAAACUAAUAUUUAUAUUGAUCAAUCAUUAAUAUUUUUAUUAAUCUAAUUAAUUUUUUUACUAGUUAUCUAACUAAAAUAAUUUACUAACUAACUAAAAAGUUAAAUUAUUUUUUAUAUUUAAUUAAUUUAUUAAUAUACUUUCAUUAUCUUAUACAAUAUUCAUAGCUAAUAAAUUUUUUAAUUUAUUAAAUUAAUUUUAAGUAAUAUUUUUAUGUUAAUUAGUUAGAUAAAAUAAUUUUAAUUUAAAAUUAUAACUCUUAUUCCUCUUAUUCCAAUCUAAUUAUCCAAAUUCUAUUUAUCUUAUUCCUAUUAACAAUUUAAUUUUUAUCCAAACGCAAAAUUGGUAUAAUUUCUACUUAUAUCUGAAAUUGUACCUAUCCUGAAAUAAGCAGUUCUGACUUAUACCGAACCAAACACAGCC